UACAGAGGGUGCGAGCGUUGUUCGGAAUUACUGGGCGUAAAGCGCGCGCAGGCGGCCUUUUAAGUCUGACGGUGAAAUGCCGGGGCUCAACCCCGUGCCCGCCGGAGAUACUGGGAGGCUGGAGACGAGUAGAGGCAAGCGGAAUUCCGGGUGUAGCGGUGGAAUGCGCGAGAUCCGGAAGAACACCGGAGGCGAAGGCGGCUUGCUGGGCUUUGUCUGACGCUGAGGCGCGAAAGCGUGGGGAGCGAACAGG
rnacentral:rRNA from 1 species